rnacentral:rRNA from 1 species
UACGUAGGUGGCAAGCGUUGUCCGGAAUUACUGGGCGUAAAGGGCGUGUAGGCGGUUUUUUAAGUCAGGCGUGAAAAUCCAAGGCUUAACCUUGGACCUGCGUUUGAAACUGGAAGACUUGAGGGCGGGAGAGGAAAGCGGAACUCCAUGUGUAGCGGUGAAAUGCGUAGAUAUAUGGAAGAACACCAGUGGCGAAGGCGGCUUUCUGGACCGAUCCUGACGCUGAGGCGCGAAAGCCAGGGGAG